rnacentral:rRNA from 1 species
AGUUUGAUCCUGGCUCAGGACGAACGCUGGCGGCGUGCCUAAUACAUGCAAGUCGAGCGGACCAAUCCUUCGGGAGCGGUUAGCGGCGGACGGGUGAGUAACACGUGGGCAACCUGCCUGUAAGACUGGGAUAACUAUCGGAAACGAUAGCUAAGACCGGAUAAUUGGUUUCCUCGCAUGAGGGGAUCAUGAAAAGCGGAGCAAUCUGCUGCUUACGGAUGGGCCUGCGGCGCAUUAGCUAGUUGGUGGGGUAACGGCCCACCAAGGCGACGAUGCGUAGCCGACCUGAGAGGGUGACCGGCCACACUGGGACUGAGACACGGCCCAGACUCCUACGGGAGGCAGCAGUAGGGAAUCUUCCGCAAUGGACGAAAGUCUGACGGAGCAACGCCGCGUGAGUGAUGAAGGUUUUCGGAUCGUAAAGCUCUGUUGCCAAGGAAGAACGCCUAGGAGAGUAACUGCUCUUAGGGUGACGGUACUUGAGAAGAAAGCCCCGGCUAACUACGUGCCAGCAGCCGCGGUAAUACGUAGGGGGCAAGCGUUGUCCGGAAUUAUUGGGCGUAAAGCGCGCGCAGGCGGUUUUUUAAGUCUGGUGUUUAAACCUUAGGCUCAACCUAGGGUCGCACUGGAAACUGGGAAGCUAGAGUGUAGGAGAGGAAAGUGGAAUUCCACGUGUAGCGGUGAAAUGCGUAGAGAUGUGGAGGAACACCAGUGGCGAAGGCGACUUUCUGGCCUAUAACUGACGCUGAGGCGCGAAAGCGUGGGGAGCAAACAGGAUUAGAUACC